rnacentral:rRNA from 1 species
UACGAAGGGGGCUAGCGUUGCUCGGAAUGACUGGGCGUAAAGGGCGCGUAGGCGGUUCGUACAGUCAGACGUGAAAUUCCCGGGCUCAACCUGGGGGCUGCGUUUGAUACGUGCGGGCUUGAGUUCGGAAGAGGGUCGUGGAAUUCCCAGUGUAGAGGUGAAAUUCGUAGAUAUUGGGAAGAACACCGGUGGCGAAGGCGGCGACCUGGUCCGAUACUGACGCUGAGGAGCGAAAGCAUGGGGAGCGAACAGG